rnacentral:rRNA from 1 species
GUGAGGAAUUUUCCGCAAUGGGCGAAAGCCUGACGGAGCAAUGCCGCGUGAAGGAUGAAGGCCUAUGGGUUGUAAACUUCUUUUCUCAGAAAAGAAUUAUGACGGUAUCUGAGGAAUAAGCAUCGGCUAACUCUGUGCCAGCAGCCGCGGUAAGACAGAGGAUGCAAGCGUUAUCCGGAAUGAUUGGGCGUAAAGCGUCUGUAGGUUGUUUAAAAAGUAUUCUGUCAAAGAUUAGGGCUUAACCCUAGAUAGGCAGAAUAAACUUUUAAGCUAGAGUUUGGUAGAGGCAGAGGGAAUGCCCGGUGGAGCGGUGAAAUGCGUAGAUAUCGGGAGGAACACCAAAGGCGAAGGCACUCUGCUGGGCCAAUACUAACACUGAGAGACGAAAGCGUGGGGAGCAAACAGGAUUAGAAACCCCUGUAGUCC